rnacentral:piRNA from 1 species
UGGGUGGACUGUGUAAGCAGGUUUUUUUUG